rnacentral:rRNA from 1 species
AUGAGAGAGGAGUGUCAGCCACCAUGGCUGCUAGCUUGCACUUUGCUGCUCUACAUUACUUUAUUUGUUGCUAAGUGUCUGCUUGCUAGAAAGAAAGUAGGCGCGCUCAGCGCACCAGACUUUGUUGUUUUACGUCGUGCACUUGAGGGCGACAACACACAUAGCUUGGGAGCUAUUGUGGCUCGCCGCCUGCAGCUUAAUAAAUCUCAGGGUCUAAUACAUGGUGGGAUUUUUGCUACUCGUUUGACGGAUCACUUUGAGGUUGAGAUACGCCCCCAUAACUACCCUCUGACCAGGGUUUACCUAGACCGAGCAGCCAUGGAUCACCACCAUUUCACUGGUAAUAAAUCUCCUAACAUCCCUAUUCCGUAUAACCUGGUUUUUAGUGUAGACACUCGUGAUAUUAUUCCAUUACCUACUCAUGCUUUGUUUGAUCCUGUUGCCAGGGCGGAUAUAGGAUUAUGCCUACAGACACCAUCGCCUACCGGAACACUCAGGCUGCCGCGGAGGCAGCACAGGAGGAGCCUCAGCAGUGGGAUGUGUGGAUGCCCGCUCCUCAACAGCCCUUCUACCCUCCAGGCUAUUGAGCGACUACCAAGUUAG